GACGAACGCUGGCGGCGUGCCUAAUACAUGCAAGUCGAGCGAGCGGAACCAGCAGAUCUGCUUCGGCAGUGACGCUGGGAAAGCGAGCGGCGGUUGGGUGAGUAACACGUGGGGAACCUGCCCCAAAGUCUGGGAUACCACUUGGAAACAGGUGCUAAUACCGGAUAAGAAAGCAGAUCGCAUGAUCAGCUUUUAAAAGGCGGCGUAAGCUGUCGCUAUGGGAUGGCCCCGCGGUGCAUUAGCUAGUUGGUAGAGUAACGGCCUACCAAGGCAAUGAUGCAUAGCCGAGUUGAGAGACUGAUCGGCCACAUUGGGACUGAGACGCGGCCCAAACUCCUACGGGAGGCAGCAGUAGGGAAUCUUCCACAAUGGACGCAAGUCUGAUGGAGCAACGCCGCGUGAGUGAAGAAGGUUUUCGGAUCGUAAAGCUCUGUUGUUGGUGAAGAAGGAUAGAGGUAGUAACUGGCCUUUAUUUGACGUAAUCAACCAGAAAGUC
rnacentral:rRNA from 1 species